rnacentral:misc_RNA from 1 species
UACAGAGGGUGCAAGCGUUAAUCGGAAUUAUUGGGCGUAAAGGGCGCGUAGACGGGUGAUUAAGCGGACGGUGAAAGGCAUGGGCUCAACCUGUGUAAGCCGUCUGAACUGGUGACCUAGAGGUCAGGAGAGGGGAGUGGAAUUCUCGAAGUAGCGGUGAAAUGCGUAGAUAUCGGGAGGAACACCGGUGGCGAAGGCGACUCUCUGGCCUGAACCUGACGUUGAGGCGCGAAAGCGUGGGGAGCAAACAGG